rnacentral:sRNA from 1 species
UCUCUCCCUAGAUCGGGCCCAACACAGGCAACGACAGUGCAAGCUUCCACCACCCCGCCUCCCCCCAAUGUGUGUCACCCCUGCCCCCGGAGGGACCAUCUCUCGAGGUAAG